CGCCCCCGACCGUCGCCGCGGAGAAGAAGUCAUUGAAGAACCUUAUCAUUUAGAGGAAGGAGAAGUCGUAACAAGGUUUCCGUAGGUGAACCUGCGGAAGGAUCAUUG
rnacentral:ncRNA from 1 species